GACGAACGCUGGCGGCGUGCUUAACACAUGCAAGUCGAACGGAAAGGCCCUGCUUUUGUUGGUUGCUCGAGUGGCGAACGGGUGAGUAACACGUGAGUAACCUGCCCUUGACUUUGGGAUAACUUCAGGAAACUGGGGCUAAUACCGGAUAUGAGCUCCUGCUGCAUGUUGUUGGUUGGAGAGUUUCGGCUUUUGUGGCUGGACUCGCGGCUUAUCAGCUUGUUGGGGGGGUAGUUGCUUACCAAGGCUUUGACGGGUAGCCGGCCUGAGAGGGUGACCGGCCACAUGGGGCCUGCGAGACGGCCCAGAAUGCUACGGGAGGCAGCAGUGGGGAAUAUUGCACAACGGGCGGAAGCCUGAUGUAGCAACGCCGCGUGCGGGAUGACGGCCUUCGGGUUGUAAACAGAUGUGGCAGGUGACGAAGAGUGAGUGACGGUAAUGGGUAAAGAAGCAACGGCUAACUACGUG
rnacentral:rRNA from 1 species